UGACCAACAMUGAUAUAKCACAUGCAAGCCGAGCGGUAUUGUUUCUUCGGAAAUGAGAGAGCGGCGUACGGGUGCGGAACACGUGUGCAACCUGCCUUUAUCUGGGGGAUAGCCUUUCGAAAGGGAGAUUAAUACCCCAUAAUAUUUAGAAUGGCAUCAUUUUAAAUUGAAAACUCCGGUGGAUAGAGAUGGGCACGCGCAAGAUUAGAUAGUUGGUGAGGUAACGGCUCACCAAGUCAACGAUCUUUAGGGGGCCUGAGAGGGUGAUCCCCCACACUGGUACUGAGACACGGACCAGACUCCUACGGGAGGCAGCAGUGAGGAAUAUUGGACAAUGGGUGAGAGCCUGAUCCAGCCAUCCCGCGUGAAGGACGACGGCCCUAUGGGUUGUAAACUUCUUUUGUAUAGGGAUAAACCUACCCUCGUGAGGGUAGCUGAAGGUACUAUACGAAUAAGCACCGGCUAACUCCGUGCCAGCAGCCGCGGUAAUACGGAGGGUGCAAGCGUUAUCCGGAUUUAUUGGGUUUAAAGGGUCCGUAGGCGGAUCUGUAAGUCAGUGGUGAAAUCUCACAGCUUAACUGUGAAACUGCCAUUGAUACUGCAGGUCUUGAGUGUUGUUGAAGUAGCUGGAAUAAGUAGUGUAGCGGUGAAAUGCAUAGAUAUUACUUAGAACACCAAUUGCGAAGGCAGGUUACUAAGCAACAACUGACGCUGAUGGACGAAAGCGUGGGGAGCGAACAGGAUUAGAUACCCUGGUAGUCCACGCCGUAAACGAUGCUAACUCGUUUUUGGUUUUUCGGAAUCAGAGACUAAGCGAAAGUGAUAAGUUAGCCACCUGGGGAGUACGUUCGCAAGAAUGAAACUCAAAGGAAUUGACGGGGGCCCGCACAAGCGGUGGAUUAUGUGGUUUAAUUCGAUGAUACGCGAGGAACCUUACCAAGGCUUAAAUGGGAAAUGACAGGUUUAGAAAUAGACUUUUCUUCGGACAUUUUUCAAGGUGCUGCAUGGUUGUCGUCAGCUCGUGCCGUGAGGUGUUAGGUUAAGUCCUGCAACGAGCGCAACCCCUGUCACUAGUUGCCAUCAUUAAGUUGGGGACUCUAGUGRACUKGCUACSCAGUCGAGGAGUGUAUAGCGUCAUCAUCGGUCCGUASCUGGUCACAACGU
rnacentral:rRNA from 1 species